AUACUUACCUGGACGGGGUUUUUGGGCGAUCAAGAAGGUCCAUGGCCUAGGUUAGUGUCCUCCAUUGCACUUUUGGAGGGGUUCUACUCUAAGGUCUGUUCAACGUGGCAGAGCCUACGUCAUAAUUUGUGGUAGUGGGGGCCUGCGUCCGCGCGGCCUCUAC